GGUAAAAGCGGUUUGUUCAGAUACUCACAAGAAUUAGAUUUUGGUCUCUUUGGACCUUCUCUUUCAGGCAGAGUGGUUAGCAGCUAUUGAGCUCCCUUCCAGACCCAUUACACAAACUGAGCAUCUGCUUUUCUGUGCCCAGGCACAAUCUGGUUCAACAGAGGGUCAAUUAUUGAUGCUUGAAGAGCAGAAGCUGCACACUGAAGUGAAUAAUACCAAUGUUACUCUUCUGCUGCCACCAAUAGUAGCUUGCAGUACUGAUUUCAGUCUCAAGCAUUCCUAUGAAAUGGUAAGAAAAGAUUUUACACACAGAGGUUUGAGUGGUCUGGUCUGUUUGCUUUUCAAGUCAUGGGUCUGCAAUGUGCGUAUUCAUCACGCACAGUUCUAUAUUAUUUUUCCCCAGGGUUUAAUCCCCCCAUAUUUUAGCCCCACCUUCAUCUCUGUCACACACAGGUCCUUUAUUACUGCUGAGGAAAAUCAGAGCAGAGGACUCUCUGGGUUGCUGUGCAACCUGAAACAAUCUGUGCAACACUGACACAAACCAAAGCAAACACUGGAUGCGAGUUUUUCAACCAGGAUUUCAAGAGCAAAGUCACCAGAACUACUCAUAUGCUCAAAGUUAGGCUUGUGCUUUGGCAUUUUGCUGAACUGGCUUCUUACAGAAGAGGAAGAUGAAGAAUGCCUUGGCCUAGAUUAGAGGCCACAUCUUGGGUCCACACCAGGUUUGGUGGUGCUGGAAUGUGUGAUCCUCCCAUACUGUCUCUCAGAAUAGGCAAUACCAGCUAUUCAGGAAGCAGCCCUGAGAAACCUUUUGUGGGUUGCUCUUAAUACCUGAGCUAGAUUAUAGGAGAAGAAAAAAAAGGCUGGAAAACCUUCAGCCAUCAUUGGACUCCCUGAGAAGAUUUUCCCUCUUAGCAAUGACUUUAUGGCUAAUCAGAGGCAGAAGACAAGUGGCAGCCUAUGAACUCCCCAGACACCAGGUUUUUACCAGGAAAUCCAUUCCCCAAUCCAACCUCACCCCAUCUCUGUUUCUCUAUGUUUUCCCUGGGCCUCUCCCACCACCAGAAGCAAGGCAGCCUGCCUUCCCAGUAGGUCUGCGUACGUCUCACUUCUGGGAAAAGAGAUCUAAAACCACCUUCAAAGUGGAAAAACCUGAGAGCAGAUAUUUCUUGGAUCCAGCUCAGCCAGUCCAGAAACUGUGUUAGAAGCAGGACAAUAUUUUAUACCAGCUUAUUCAUGGGGAAGCUAUAUGAGCAUAGAGCAUCCUAGUUCACUGCUAUCCUGUCCCUGGCCAUGCAGUAGUCCAGCAAUGACACUGAGCUGAAGAACACCUGACUUCAAGUACAGACAUUAUACUUCCUACCAUUACACCUUCUCAAUAUAUUUAUGCACCAGGCACUGUAGGUAUCAUGUUUUCAUAUUCAUGUUACACUUAGCUAAUACUAUCUAGAAUUUCUCUGCAUUAAAUGGAGUAUUUUAUCUUUUUGAACAAGUAAGAUUUCUGCACCAUAAUGUAUCCUACAGGCAAUUCUUUUCAUAUCUAAAUCCCAAGGAUGUUUGGGGGGAAAAAAAAAAAAGGAGAUUAUAUUUAUUCAGAAAUUAAAUGAGAUUAAUAAUUUUAAAAGUAAUUUACAAAUAGCAAUCAGCCUCUGCAAUGAAGGUCAAAAGAAAAAGGACACAUUAGCAAUUGAAUAUCUUCUGUCCCUUUAAAGUUUUAAUACCUCAUACCUGUUAAUAAUAGGAAAUAUUCUUCUUCAAGAGUAGCAUUUUCAAAAAUUGGUAGGAUCCUUUUGCUAAUUCUAAUCUUCUUUUAAUAAAAUAAUUUGCUAAAAAGGAUUAUAAAAAAGCAUGAAAAUGGAAUGCCAAUAGAAAUGUACUGCCUAUACAAUAAAUAGUUAAUGUAUUUUCUAAAUGAAUGAUUUAAAAUAGCUAUUAAAGUAAAGAGAAUGAGCUUAUGUUUCUAGUAAUGACUUCUCUGCCUCAGAAUGAAAUCUGUAAAUCCCCGAUUGCAAUUUCACGUCCCAAAAGAACAAGCAGUCCUGGGACCAAUGCUUAUUGCCUUUAUCGUUAAUACUAGCAUACCACAUGUGAUUUUUAUAUCACUGGUUUGAAUAUUUAGAUUUAUACUUAUGUGUGCUUUUUAUUUUAAAUCUCAUACAGUUAUUCUGUCACAAAAAUAAAGCUCUUUCAACGAGGCUUUUUUGUAUGUACAUGCAUACGUGUAUACACAGACAUUCAGUAUAAGUACAAUUUUAUUCAUAAGAGUGCAUAAUGAUUCAGGCUGUGAUUGUUAAUAAAAAUGCAUUUCUAACCAUCAA